AGAGUUUGAUCCUAGCUCAGGAUGAACGCUGGCGGCGUGGAUAAGGCAUGCAAGUCGAACGACUCUUCGGAGUAGUGGCAAACGGGGUAGUAACAGGUAGGAACAUACCCAGAAGUCAGGGACAGCCCAUCGAAAGGUGGAUUAAUACCUGAUAGUCUCGCAAGAGUAAAGCUCAGGCGCCUUCUGGAAUGGCCUGCUCGGUAUCAGCUUGUUGGUAAGGUAAUGGCUUACCAAGGCAAUGACGCCUAGGGGGGGUGAGAGCCCGAUCCCCACCAUUGGGACUGAGACACGGCCCAAACACCUACGGGUGGCUGCAGUCGAGAAUCUUCCGCAAUGCAGGAAACUGUGACGGAGCGACGCCGCGUGAUGGAUGAAGUAUUUCGGUAUGUAAACAUCUUUUAUAAGGGAGGAAAUUUUUGACGUUACCUUAUGAAUAAGGGGUUCCUAAACUCGUGCCAGCAGGAGCGGUAAUACGAGUACCCCGAGCGUUAUCCGGAAUCAUUGGGCGUAAAGGGUGCGUAGGUGGUUGUAUUAGUCAGAAUUUAAAGACCAGUGCUUAACACUGGGAAGGGUUUUGAAACGGUACAACUAGAAGACGACAGAGGCAUAUGGAACUCAAGGUGUAGGGGUGAAAUCCGUUGAUAUCUUGGGGAACACCAAAGGCGAAGGCAAUAUGCUGGGUCGCGCUUGACACUAAGGCACGAAACCCUGGGUAGCGAAUGGGAUUAGAUACCCCAGUAGUCCAGGGCCUAAACGAUGCAGAUUAAUCUUUCGGAGUAUCGACCCUCUGAGAGAUACAGCUAACGCGUUAAAUCUGCCGCCUGGGAAGUACGGCCGCAAGGCUAAAACUCAAAGGAAUAGACGGGGACUCGCACAAGCGGUGGAUCAUGUGGUUUAAUUCGACGAUAAGCGAAAAACCUUACCAAGACUAGAAAUUCAAGUGACGGUUUCCAGAAACGGAUUCUUUCUUCGGACACUUGAACAGGUGAUGCAUGGCCGUCGUCAGCUCGUGGUUUGAACUGUACCGUUAAGUCGGUUAACGAGCGCGACCCUCAUCGUAUGUUUUAUAUGUCAUACGAGACUGCCCCCUCAGAGAUGAGAAUUGUCAUCCUAAAUCGACACAAAAUGUGUCGAUUUCGGAAUGACAACCUUGUCGUUUCUGAGGGGGGAGGAAGGUGAGGACGACGCCAGGUCAGCAUGUCCCUUGAUGUCUUGGGCUACACACGUGAUACAAUGGGUGGUACAACAGGUCGCGACGGAGCAAUCCCGAGCCAAUCCUCUAAAGCCACCCCUAGUUCGGAUUGGGGUCUGCAACUCGACCCCAUGAAGUUGGAAUCGCUAGUAAUCGCAGGUCAGCACACUGCGGUGAAUACGUUCUCGAGUCUUGUACUCACCGCCCGUCAAGUCAAGGGAGCCGGUGGCACCCGAAGUCUGCGCAGCUCGCGUGGCCGAAGGUGAAAUUGGUGACAGGGACUAAGUCGUAACAAGGCACGGCUAGCGGAAGCUGGUCGUG
rnacentral:rRNA from 1 species